rnacentral:rRNA from 1 species
UACGAGGGGGGCGAGCGUUGUUCGGAAUUAUUGGGCGUAAAGGGUGCGUAGGCGGGGCUUUAAGUCAGGGGUGAAAUCCUGGAGCUCAACUCCAGAACUGCCUUUGAUACUGAAGAUCUUGAGUUCGGGAGAGGUGAGUGGAACUGCGAGUGUAGAGGUGAAAUUCGUAGAUAUUCGCAAGAACACCAGUGGCGAAGGCGGCUCACUGGCCCGAUACUGACGCUGAGGCACGAAAGCGUGGGGAGCAAACAGG